UUUAAACAUGAGAGUUUGAUCUUGGCUCAGGACGAACGCUGGCGGCAUGCCUAAUACAUGCAAGUCGAACGAUGAUAUCACUGCUUGCAGUGAUUGAUUAGUGGCGAACGGGUGAGUAACACGUGAGGAACUUGCCCAUGAGCGGGGGACAACAUUCGGAAACGGAUGCUAAUACCCCAUAGGUGGAUUGGUCGCAUGACGAAUUCAUUAAAGGUGGCUCUGCUACCACUCAUGGAUAGCCUCGCGGCGUAUUAGCUAGUUGGUAAGGUGAUGGCUUACCAAGGCAGUGAUACGUAGCCGACUUGAGAGGGUGAUCGGCCACACUGGGACUGAGACACGGCCCAGACUCCUACGGGAG
rnacentral:rRNA from 1 species